UUCAUGAUGCUUUCAAACACUGAGUUUUCUGAUUGUCAUGAAGUCAAAGCUUUCCUGA
rnacentral:snoRNA from 1 species